rnacentral:rRNA from 1 species
GUGGGGAAUAUUGGACAAUGGACCGAGAGUCUGAUCCAGCAAUUCUGUGUGCACGAUGAAGUUUUUCGGAAUGUAAAGUGCUUUCAGUUGGGAAGAAAGAAAUGACGGUACCAACAGAAGAAGUGACGGCUAAAUACGUGCCAGCAGCCGCGGUAAUACGUAUGUCACGAGCGUUAUCCGGAUUUAUUGGGCGUAAAGCGCGUCUAGGUGGUUAUAUAAGUCUGAUGUGAAAAUGCAGGGCUCAACUCUGUAUUGCGUUGGAAACUGUAUAACUAGAGUACUGGAGAGGUAAGCGGAACUACAAGUGUAGAGGUGAAAUUCGUAGAUAUUUGUAGGAAUGCCGAUGGGGAAGCCAGCUUACUGGACAGAUACUGACGCUGAAGCGCGAAAGCGUGGGUAGCAAACAGGAUUAGAAACCCGUGUAGUCC